rnacentral:misc_RNA from 1 species
AACGCACAUUGCACCCGGUGGUAUUCUGCCGGGUAUGCCUGUUCGAGCGUCAUUUUCUUCCCUCAGGCCCAUCUCUUUUAGAGAGGCAAGCCUGGUGUUGGGAUUUACGGGUGGUUGUUCACAACGGCCUGUAGUCUCCAAAUGCAUCGGCGUGCAUGCUGUACGUUGCCCUCUGCGUAGUGGAUUUUUCUUAUCUCGCAUCGGGACGCAGCACUACACAGCCGCCAAAACUUCAAACUGCUUAACGAAGUUUGACCUCGAAUCAGGUAGGGUUACCCGCUGAACUUAA